rnacentral:rRNA from 1 species
UUUUAUGGAGAGUUUGAUCCUGGCUCAGGAUGAACGCUGGCGGCGUGCCUAAUACAUGCAAGUCGAGCGAACGGACGAGAAGCUUGCUUUUCUGAUGUUAGCGGCGGACGGGUGAGUAACACGUGGAUAACCUACCUAUAAGACUGGGAUAACUUCGGGAAACCGGAGCUAAUACCGGAUAAUAUU